rnacentral:rRNA from 1 species
AGUGAACGCUGGCGGUAGGCCUAACACAUGCAAGUCGAACGGCAGCACAGUAAGAGCUUGCUCUUACGGGUGGCGAGUGGCGGACGGGUGGGGAAUACAUCGGAAUCUACUUUUUCGUGGGGGAUAACGUAGGGAAACUUACGCUAAUACCGCAUACGACCUACGGGUGAAAGCAGGGGAUCUUCGGACCUUGCGCGAUUGAAUGAGCCGAUGUCGGAUUAGCUAGUUGGCGGGGUAAAGGCCCACCAAGGCGACGAUCCGUAGCUGGUCUGAGAGGAUGAUCAGCCACACUGGAACUGAGACACGGUCCAGACUCCUACGGGAGGCAGCAGUGGGGAAUAUUGGACAAUGGGCGCAAGCCUGAUCCAGCCAGACCGCGUGGGUGAAGAAGGCCUUCGGGUUGUAAAGCCCUUUUGUUGGGAAAGAAAAGCAGCAGGUUAAUACCCCGCUGUUCUGACGGUACCCAAAGAAUAAGCACCGGCUAACUUCGUG